GCCCCCCUAGCUCAGGGGAUAGAGCGUCUGCCUCCGGAGCAGAAGGUCGUAGGUUCGAAUCCUACGGGGGGCACCG
rnacentral:tRNA from 1 species